rnacentral:rRNA from 1 species
UACGAAGGGGGCUAGCGUUGCUCGGAAUCACUGGGCGUAAAGCGCACGUAGGCGGGUCUUUAAGUCAGGGGUGAAAUCCUGGAGCUCAACUCCAGAACUGCCUUUGAUACUGAGGAUCUCGAGUCCGGGAGAGGUGAGUGGAACUCCGAGUGUAGAGGUGAAAUUCGUAGAUAUUCGGAAGAACACCAGUGGCGAAGGCGGCCUCACUGGCCCGGUACUGACGCUGAGGUGCGAAAGCGUGGGGAGCAACAGGG